UACGGGGGGGCAAGCGUUGUUCGGAAUUACUGGGCGUAAAGGGCUCGUAGGCGGCCAACUAAGUCAGACGUGAAAUCCCUCGGCUUAACCGGGGAACUGCGUCUGAUACUGGAUGGCUUGAGGUUGGGAGAGGGAUGCGGAAUUCCAGGUGUAGCGGUGAAAUGCGUAGAUAUCUGGAGGAACACCGGUGGCGAAGGCGGCAUCCUGGACCAAUUCGUGACGCUGAGGAGCGAAAGCCAGGGGAGCAAACGGGG
rnacentral:rRNA from 1 species